ensembl:lncRNA
GCUGUAGUUACACUGCAGGAACAUCCUCAGGAAGUGCAGACUCUUCUCCAAGGAGCUGUGGGAAUUCCGUCAAUCUAUUAUUCUAGGUGCCAAAGAGGAAGAUGAAUUGGAAAAAAGUGUUACCUGUGGGAUCACUUAUUGUUGGGUUGUCUUGAUGGUAGAAUGACAUAGACAGAAAAUGCAAAAGCAGAGUUGGAAGUUAAAAGGAAGCAGAGAUGGAGCUACAGGAGACAGGUCCUGAAAGAUAUCCUGUUUUCCUCGGUUUACAAAGACAACUCAGUGUCGAGGGAACUGAAGACUGGGGUGUGCUGGACUAACACAAAUUUAACUGAAGCCAAGAAUGCCCUGGUUUGGCUCUGGAAAGAGUAAUAAGCAGCCAAGGACAUUUGGAAGGCCAAAUCUAAACCAGUACGCAUGGGCCUGUACAGCUGAAAGUCAGCAAUAUUUUUAGGGAUGACCAGAGCUGAUGUCUUUUCAGAAGCAAACCAUUAUUUACCUCACUGUUUAGUCACACAGAAAGGCUCACACUGCUGCACUCAAGACACUGCCCUUUCCAGACAAAAGGAGUGUAUUUAUGGCUUCUGCAGUUCAUCAUCUACAAUCAAACAAGAAAUUAUAUACCAUUCUUGGCAAAAAAAAAGCCAAUAUACAGUGACAUAGUUCUUCCUCAAUUAAAAAGUUACAGCUUUGUGUUUUCUUGAGAAAAUACAAAUAUUUCUGAAAUCACAGCAUAUGUAGCGUUUAUUGUUUUUCUUGGACAGUAAGUUAUAAAGAAGUAGCUUAUGAAUCAGUAGCUAGAAGUUUUACUUCCUGGUUUCUAUUAAAUCUUAUGCUAUUUGCUCCUGAUUUAGGGCCCAGGAAAAGCAAUUAUAACUUGCAUGCACCAACUUGCUGAGUUACUGAGCCAGUUUAUCUUUGCUUGUCUAAACAAAGGACUGUAAAGCAUAAAAAAGUGAUUUAAAGAAUUUUUGCACUGAGUUGUCACUUUGAACUCUUAUAACCACAGAAAAUUGUACCAUAUCUCAAAUUUAAAACAAAGUAAACCAAAAACCUCACCACAAUUUUCUUUUUCUGUGAAAUUUUCUGUCAUAAGAAGAUAUGUUCAGAAAGGUCUAAUAUUGAUAUGACAUUUUCUCUAAGAGUGUUCUGCAAAAACACCUAAGAAGUUUCCUGAAACUGGCACAAGAUUUUGUUUUAGCUGCCUAAGUUAGAUUACAGCAAGUCAAACACUCUGUAUAUUUCAGAAAAAUAUGCUGAUGGGUGAACCUAUCAAGAAAGGAUUUACCUAAAUGCUGUUCUCUCAAGAUGAUAGUAGUAAAUGAGUCCUUUGUAGGAAGGCUAUUUCAAAAGCCAAAAGUUGUUACACUACAUAUAUAAUGAUAAUGAGCUGUUAGAAAACUUCCUGCUCACUAUGAACUUUGAAUAAACAGUUAAAUCCUAAGUUAGCUCUUCA